GUGGUUUAAUUCGAAGCAACGCGAAGAACCUUAGCAGGUCUUGACAUCCUCUGACAACUCUAGAGAUAGAGCGUGCCCCUUCGGGGGACAGAGUGACAGGUGGUGCAUGGUUGUCGUCAGCUCGUGUCGUGAGAUGUUGGGUUAAGUCCCGCAACGAGCGCAACCCUUGAUCUUAGUUGCCAGCAUUUAGUUGGGCACUCUAAGGUGACUGCCGGUGACAAACCGGAGGAAGGUGGGGAUGACGUCAAAUCAUCAUGCCCCUUAUGACCUGGGCUACACACGUGCUACAAUGGAUGGUACAAAGGGCUGCAAGACCGCGAGGUCAAGCCAAUCCCAUAAAACCAUUCUCAGUUCGGAUUGUAGGCUGCAACUCGCCUACAUGAAGCUGGAAUCGCUAGUAAUCGCGGAUCAGCAUGCCGCGGUGAAUACGUUCCCGGGCCUUGUACACACCGCCCGUCA
rnacentral:rRNA from 2 species